rnacentral:misc_RNA from 1 species
CACGCGCACUCGCAUGGGCGUGGGCACAGGAAGGGAGACCGCCUCUCUUGGCCUUUCUCUGCGACAAGCGUCCCUCUGUCUCUCUCCCUCGCACGACCCCUGGUCAUGGUGUCGGUGUGCUGCGUUACCUGUGUCACUUCGGAUGGCGACAGCGGGACUACGGUGCCUCGACUGGUGCCCGCGUCACCACCACCGCCGCCGCUUGCCGCGCUUGCCUUCAGCCAUGACGGUACGCGGGCGGCCUACGCGGUGCGUCGCGGGAAGGCUCUUCCACGAUAUGGCGAACGUGAGGAUGCGUGCUCUAUCUUCAUCGCCAGCACAAACACUCCGGCGCAUUGCGCGUCCAGCACUUCGAGCAGCCCCGGCGCCGCUGUCGCUCCCUUCGCGCAGUGGACGAUGCUGCAGGUGCUUACCGGCAGUCACGACGCGCCCAUCACCGCGUUGGCAUGGUGCCAGCGCACAGGCGCCCUCCUCUCUACCAGUGCAGACCGCGGCGCCUGUGUCUGGGUGCCGCGUGCGGGUGCUGCUGCUGCAAAGGAAGCGAACAGUGCUGCUGCUGUCGAGGGUGGAAGCGUGAACCUUCCUGUGGCUGUCGCAGCAGAUGUGCCGUUUUGUGCGGUGCCGCAGCUGGUCAUACUGAGCACCGAGGUGCGCCUGUGUCCGACCUGUGUGGCGUGGAGCGCGGAAGGGACGAAACUGUACAUCGGCACCUCUGGCGGCACCGUCGCCGUUGGCCGCUACGACGCGCAGCAUAAGUGGUGGAUCUGCCGCCUUCUCAGCGAUCAUCGCCGCACUACGUUUUUUGACCCAUCAGUUGAGACCGCGGCACCAUCGUCGGCGCGCGCGUGCUCGGUCACGGCACUGGCGGCACAUCCUGUCGAGAACACGAGACUUGCUGUAGCGCGCCUUGAUGGCACGGUGCAAGUCCUCUCUACACACAUCAAGAGCGUGGAUGGAGCGCUGGGCAGCUCUGGACAAGGUACAAGUGGCAGCAACGCGGGUGCAACUGCGAAGCCUUUCCAUCACGUGUACCUAUCGCACCUCCUACCUUGCUGGGUGCACGGAGUGGCCUGGAGCCCGUCGGGGCAGCAGCUGGCAGUGGUGGGUCAUGACAGCGGUCUCCAUACGUGGGACUGGGGUCCUGUGCGAUCCUCGUCAGCGGGAGGGGAGCGCAGCAGCAAUGACGACUGCUCCGGUGCUGGCUCUGGCAAGUGUGAAGCAGUGCACACAGUGACGUGGCUUCGUCAGCUGCCGCUGCUCCGAUGCGAGUUCGCUUCGGAAGACGUACUCGUGGCAGUCGGAUUCGAGGGACGUCUGCACGCCUUCGAGUCGACUGCAGCGUCAGCGCAGCCGGGAUUACAGAGGCAGCGAACGUGGAAGCUGAUGCCGGAGCACGCGGCGACGCAACGGACGGAGGGCUCGGCGCAGCUGCUGCGCCGUGAAACAGCGCAUGUGGCUGCCAACGACAGAGAGAAGACGGCGGCCGCUUGCGGCCGGCACAAUCUGCCUUCGCAGAGAGGUACUGCUGCUGCCAAGCACGUCGUCACUCUUGAGGGUCAGCAGCCGCCAGCGCGAAUUGUGGGCGAGUCGCAGGCCGCUGUCGAUGGGGUUCUAGUAGCCAAGUCGGUGCGUCAAGUGGCAUUGGACUUCUUCGAGCGCGGCCGUGCGGCGGCAGCUGCCGAUGCUGUUGUGGCGACAUCCACCCGCGGGCGGUCCUCGGUACCAGGUGCACAUAGCUCGACAGAGAACAACGCAGCGGAUCACGCGACGGGUGCGGCACGGCAACAGGUCACCGAGAGUCCUCCACACACAUCGCUCAUUAGCCUGCUGGUGCGCAUUCCAUCGGGCGAAAAAUCUACCGCCGCUGAGCCGAUGGACGUCACCUUCGUGUCAGCCGGGCACGACAGUCGCGUGCACCUCUGGCGAGUGCGCCACACGACCCUAGCUCGCAGUAAGGGCGUGCCCGUGUCCCCUGAUGGGUGAAGACGACUGUGGAGGCGCCCUUCUGAAUGGGGUCGGGAGACUGGUGGGCGUUACCCCCCCCCCAACGCGCAUCCCGCACUGGCAUAUUCACUUGUUCUUCGCUUCUCUGUCCUCGAC